GGGCCCGCACAAGCGGAGGAACAUGUGGUUUAAUUCGAUGAUACGCGAGGAACCUUACCCGGGCUUGAAAUGCACCUGACAAGAGUGGAAACACUUUUUUCUUCGGACAGGUGCGUAGGUGCUGCAUGGUUGUCGUCAGCUCGUGCCGUGAGGUGUCGGCUUAAGUGCCAUAACGAGCGCAACCCUUGUGAACAGUUACCAUCAGGUUAUCGCUGGGGACUCUGUUCAGACUGCCAUCGUAAGAUGCGAGGAAGGUGGGGAUGACGUCAAAUCAGCACGGCCCUUACGUCCGGGGCUACACACGUGUUACAAUGGGGGGUACAGAAGGUUGCUACCUGGUGACAGGAUGCUAAUCCGUUAAAACCCCUCUCAGUUCGGAUCGAAGUCUGCAACCCGACUUCGUGAAGCUGGAUUCGCUAGUAAUCGCGCAUCAGCCACGGCG
rnacentral:rRNA from 1 species